CUGCGCGCUCGUGCGCAGCCGAGGUCGCGCGCCCGUCAUACCCUUGCUGGGGGCCUUAAAGCGCGGAAGGUCGCGGGCCCCAUCUUCCCCGGAACUUUUUAUUCCUCAGGCCCGCCCCUCUUCCCCCACCCGCUUCCCGCUCUCCUGCCCGCGGCGAGCCCCGCACCCGCCGUGCCGCGCUUCGCUUCGGCCGCCGUGUUGUUGAGCGCGGAGCGCGAGCGGCCGCUGAGGAUUCCCGUCCACAUUCCAGGGGCGUGGUGAGGGUAUUCAAAUCCUGACCCCAGAAGGCAAAGAACUUCUCAAUUCGGAGACUGCGAAGAGCAUAAUACCCAGCAUUCCGGAUUCCAUAUUUCUGUCCAACAUUCAUCACUUCAUUGUAUACGUGAAGAGCAUACUAUACAAAGAAAGGAAAGGUGGAACAAAGUACUUUGGCCUCUCAAAUCCAUGUUUCUCCAUCCAUCUGGCUCCUUGUGCAUCCAGCCGGUCAUACAGAGGAGAUGUGCGCAACUGCCUACCCGUCUGGAAGUCCCAACGGGGAACCUUCAGAUCGUAUAUCAGAGCUAAAAGAGACAAGAGUCUAUCAAAGUUCAAGUCACAGAUUCUGGAGCUGAAUAUCCAAUAUCCACUAGACUUGAAUCAUUUCUAUUCAUGAGAGAAUAAUUUGCAGGCUAAUGCAGCCUAAUUUGUCAGGUAUUACCUAGUAUUGACAGGCAUGAUCCAAAAGAAAGGACAACACUGUAAGACCAUAUAAAGCUAUCUACCAGUGA